GCAUAAAUAGUUUAAAUAAAAAUUUUAGUUUGUGGGACUUUAGAUAAUUAGUUGAUUUUUAUGCA
rnacentral:tRNA from 1 species